rnacentral:lncRNA from 1 species
GUCGUUUACAAAAUAUUAUAAAUAUUACAUCAAUAUAGAUAAAUAAUGCUAUUCUAAUUAUAUUAAAGUAUUUAUAUUAUCUGGUCUUAUUUUCGGAAAAUUUUCAUAGUUCAUCCGAGUUUGGGAUGACUUCUAUCAGUUUCCAUGUGUUUCCGGAUAACGGUUUUUUCAAUCAAUAUCGAAAAAGAUUGUAAUUAUCUUUGAUCUACAUCAUUAUUCAGGUAAGACAGCUAUAAUUUGAAAGAAUAAUAGUCGUACGGUAAUCAAAGAACAACU